AUUGCGUCUUUGCCCACCUGGUUCCAACAUUGUCCUAAAAAUUAAACCGCAUGGUAAGGCUCACCGCACAAAGUUGUAGGGUUAUUCAUUUUGAAUUACAAGGAUUUUUCUAUUUCUAUAGUUAUUCAUCUGUCAUCAGUGCCCCUGAUAUGAAUUAAUUAGAAAGACUUUUCAAGAAAAUUUUAUCAUACCUACUACUAAUGCGCUUAUAUUAACAGUAAUCAACAUAAAUGAUAUUCUGAGCACAUAAUCAUGUUCAAAUCUUAUGUUGUUGUUCGAGGUGAUAAAGAGUUAUACAUGAAGCAUUUCUGUCCUGGCCGACAUCAAGCAAAGCGUUUUGUCAACGAUGGCAUUCAACCUAUCUCGCCGCCAGAGGGAAGUGCGAGGCAGACCAAAGUGAAAUGUAUGACGGUCGUUGAAAGUCGAUUCAAGUUAUGGUUUCCGGAUUCUAACAUUAACUUUUGAAAUCAUAUUUAGAGAAACAAAUUUGGUAAAUUAAUGCUGCUGCUGGGCAGAAUCUUGAUGCACAAUGUCUAAUAAAAAGAAGAAAAAAAAAAGUGACAUGGCACUUUACAUGACAACCAAUAUAGAAGUAACAAAACUUAGUUAUAGAAAAUAUUUAUUGUAUAAUGAAUAAAUAAUUACGCGAGCUUAUUAUUUCUCCUCCGUAGUAGAUAAAAGUAGCCGGGGCAACUCCCAAGGCCUUAGACACAUUGGUUCUAACCUAACAGCACUAAUAGGCGGAAUCUCAACCCCAACGACAGACCCAACUGGUUCCUCACCAUCAACGACGAAUAAUUCUUCAGAUAACCCAAAUCUCAGUUUAGCUGACUCGACAAACUCAUCCGCCACAUCACAGGCAUAUCGGAACAAUUCCAAUUUGUGUUUGAGCUUUUCUAAGGGGUCUGUCUCUUCGUCGUCGUCCGUUAAGGUGGAAGAUGAUGAUGAUGGUGACGAUGAUGGUGAUGACGAUGCCUGUUGAUCUUUGGAUUCGAGUGUUGUUGCGACUGCAUUCACCAAUUCUUGAUAUGCGUUGUUUAUUGCGUCUACCAUGUCGUCCAUUAUUAUAUUUAUAUCAAGCGAUUUUCUUUACGAACUAUAAGAAGAUGGAUCGAAAUAUAUAGGGGGAAUGAAUUAAAUUAGGUUUAACUGCGGCAAGGGAUAUAUAUUUAUGUAAUCGUAAUAGAAAUAGGAAUUACGUAAACUUGGCGCAUAGUAUCUUUGGAAGGUUUUUUUUCCUAAUAUCUUUUGAUUUGGCAGGUUCUUCAACAUACUAUAUUUUGUUUAAAUAAAGUUUAAUUUAAUAUAUAUUACGAUAA